AUACGUAGGUGGCGAGCGUUGUCCGGAUUUACUGGGCGUAAAGGGAGCGUAGGUGGAUAUUUAAGUGGGAUGUGAAAUACCCGGGCUUAACCUGGGUGCUGCAUUCCAAACUGGAUAUCUAGAGUGCAGGAGAGGAAAGGAGAAUUCCUAGUGUAGCGGUGAAAUGCGUAGAGAUUAGGAAGAAUACCAGUGGCGAAGGCGCCUUUCUGGACUGUAACUGACACUGAGGCGCGAAAGCGUGGGGAGC
rnacentral:rRNA from 1 species